rnacentral:rRNA from 1 species
UACGAAGGGGACUAGCGUUGUUCGGAUUUACUGGGCGUAAAGGGCGCGUAGGCGGUCAGCACAAGUCAGUUGUGAAAUCUCCGGGCUUAACUCGGAAAGGUCAACUGAUACUGUGCGACUAGAGUGCGGAAGGGGCAACUGGAAUUCUCGGUGUAGCGGUGAAAUGCGUAGAUAUCGAGAGGAACACCUGCGGCGAAGGCGGGUUGCUGGGCCGACACUGACGCUGAUGCGCGAAAGCCAGGGGAGCGAACGGG